UACGAAGGUCCCAAGCGUUAUCCGGAUUUAUUGGGCUUAAAGGGUGCGUAGGCGGGUUAUUAAGUCAGUGGUGAAAGCCUUCAGCUUAACUGAAGAACUGCCAUUGAUACUGAUGAUCUUGAGUAUGAUUGAGGUGGGCGGAAUGUGUCAUGUAGCGGUGAAAUGCUUAGAUAUGACACAGAACACCGAUUGCGAAGGCAGCUCACUAAGCCAUAACUGACGCUGAUGCACGAAAGCGUGGGGAGCAAACAGG
rnacentral:rRNA from 1 species